rnacentral:tRNA from 1 species
GGGGAUUUAGCUCAGUGGUAGAGCGCUUGCCUAGCAAGCACAAGGCCCUGGGUUCGGUCCUCAGCCCUG